CAGCAGUCGCCGCGGUAAUACAGAGGGUGCAAGCGUUAAUCGGAAUUACUGGGCGUAAAGCGCGCGUAGGUGGUUUGUUAAGUUGGAUGUGAAAUCCCCGGGCUCAACCUGGGAACUGCAUCCAAAACUGGCAAGCUAGAGUAUGGUAGAGGGUGGUGGAAUUUCCUGUGUAGCGGUGAAAUGCGUAGAUAUAGGAAGGAACACCAGUGGCGAAGGCGACCACCUGGACUGAUACUGACACUGAGGUGCGAAAGCGUGGGGAGCAAACAGGAUUAGAUACCCCAGUAGUCCCUGUCUCUUAUAC
rnacentral:rRNA from 1 species